UACGAAGGGGGCUAGCGUUGUUCGGAAUUACUGGGCGUAAAGCGCGCGCAGGCGGCUAUCCAAGUCAGUGGUGAAAGCCCGGAGCUCAACUCCGGAACUGCCAUUGAAACUGUUUAGCUUGAGGAUGAGAGAGGUGAGUGGAAUUCCCAGUGUAGAGGUGAAAUUCGUAGAUAUUGGGAAGAACACCGGUGGCGAAGGCGGCUCACUGGCUCAUUUCUGACGCUCAGGCGCGACAGCGUGGGGAUCGAAACAAGG
rnacentral:rRNA from 1 species